rnacentral:rRNA from 1 species
UACGUAGGUGGCAAGCGUUGUUCGGAAUUAUUGGGCGUAAAGGGCGCGUAGGCGGUUUUGUAAGUCAGCUGUGAAAGCCCGGGGCUCAACCCCGGAGGGUCGGCUGAUACUGCAGGACUAGAGUACGGAAGAGGUAGCUGGAAUUCCCGGUGUAGCGGUGAAAUGCGUAGAUAUCGGAAGGAACGCCGGUGGCGAAAGCGGCGUGCUGGACCUCGCCUGACGCUGAUGCGCGAAAGCCAGGGGAGCAAACGGG